UAUUCUGCCCUACGGGGAAGGAUGAGAAGCUUCGACUAAGGUUCGACUCGAGCGUAGCGAGAGAACGUUGCCGCAGGCAACGGCCCGAAGGGCGAGGCGCUUUAGCGCCGAGUAAUCCUUCCCCCACCGCUG
rnacentral:sRNA from 6 species